UUGUUUUGGUUUAUAAAAACAGAAUUUAUCAAACAAAACGACGCAUGGUUAUAUCUCUGGGACCAUCAAGAUAAGAACUCAGAAGAAGACCGCUCAUUGUGCGGCCCAGGGUUACAGAGGCCAGAGAUACCUGAUCCAGCACUGAUAGACAGCCAAUAAAAACUCAAAAAGAGAUUUAUCCAGAGUUCCCCGGGGCAGGAGACGGACAAGGCAUCAAUACUCUCCUGAUGACACAGCUGAGGAGGUGGGAGGAGGUCGAUACUCCAUGUUCAAUCCUCCUGGUCCACCAUCUCUCCUCCACUUAGUUUUUCUGUCUCCUCCCCUGAUGGAGGGAUCGAUGGAAGGAUGGCAACCGGAGAGGGGUUUUAGAGUGACACCGUGACUUUGCCCAGACAUUAGAAAACACAGCAACGCGGGUAGCAACUUAAUGGCACUGCUCUGACUUUGUGUCUCUCAUGAGUGUCUGUAUUGACUGUAUAUGCCCGUUAAUGUUGUUCUUUGUAUGUAAAGCAACGAGCAGAGUGUUGGUAAGCGCAGUCAGAGUUUUUAACUGCUCAGUGAGUAGAAAGCACUUCACACGGCUACUUAAGAGAAAAUCUAUACCAGCUUCUAUACAUUAAGUCUUAAGGGACACUGGGAGUGUGUGUGGGCGCGAGAAUGUGUACGAAUGUAUGGACCAUGGGCUGUGGUCUCUAUAACUUCUGGUCUUUCUAGUUUUCUAUCUUCCUCUAUCUUUCUCUCUAAUCUGAUCAGAUGAGUGUGGACUGUGGCAUCAGGUGUUGUUGUGUGCUGUUGGUAAUAAUCUGUCAGACACAGACCAGUCUCUAAUAUUCCAAUAAAUCACCUUGGGAUUUCUCAGAGAAGCGAAUGGGAUUCUGUCAGGCCGGCUGGAAUUCAGAAACACAUUUAUCUGAUUUGUUUCUGUGUUGUGGUUUAGUGAGGCAUAAAAAGUACGUCCUGACUGCC